GAUGAACGCUGGCGGCGUGCCUAAUACAUGCAAGUCGAGCGAACGGACGAGAAGCUUGCUUCUCUGAUGUUAGCGGCGGACGGGGGAGUAACACGUGGAUAACCUACCUAUAAGACUGAGAUAACUUCGUGAAACCGGAGCUAAUACCGGAUAAUAUUUUGAACCGCAUGGUUCAAAAGUGAAAGACGGUCUUGCUGUCACUUAUAGAUGGAUCCGCGCUGCAUUAGCUAGUUGGUAAGGUAACGGCUUACCAAGGCAACGAUGCAUAGCCGACCUGAGAGGGUGGUCGGCCACACGGGAACUGAGACACGGUCCAGACUCCUACGGGAGGCAGCAGUAGGGAAUCUUCCGCAAUGGGCGAAAGCCUGACGGAGCAACGCCGCGUGAGUGAUGAAGGUCUUCGGAUCGUAAAACUCUGUUAUUAGGGAAGAACAUAUGUGUAAGUAACUGUGCACAUCUUGACGGUACCUAAUCAGAAAGCCACGGCUAACUACGUG
rnacentral:rRNA from 1 species